AAGGGACGGGUUGAACGGGUUAUGAGAAGAAAAAAGGAACGGGUUCUCUAGGGUUUCUUCUCAGUUCUACUCACAAGUCAAAAGCAGCGGGCGACGACCUCCGCCAUCUCCUCCGCCACCUCCUCCGCCACAGACCUCCGCCGUCUCCUCCGCCACAAACCCACAUCGUCUUCGACGUCUCCUCCGGCACAAACCCCCACCGUCUCCGCCAUCAUCUCCUCCGAGCGUCGCCUCCAUCAGGUAUGUAUUUUCCCAAGAUUUUUAUCUAUUGGUGGCUUGAAGAAACUGAUUAUAUUCAUCAGUUCAUAUGGUCUGCAGUGAUGUCGUCUAUAAGGGUAUAUGAUCCAUUUACAUAAAGCAUUGUUUAUUGGGAGAUCCUAAAAGAUGUGUCUCACUUGAACCUGAUGAAAUAACUAACAAUCUGCUAAUCUUAUCUUGGUCUCAAGGUAAGUUCAGAUACCCUUAAGAGGAUAUGAUUUCUAGGUGAUCAACAAUCUUUAGCAUAUUGUUUUUUGUUAUAUUUGAUCAAAGUUUCUUGAAUGUAGACUUGUAUUUUUGAAUCUUGAGAAUAGAAUUUGUUAUAUCAGUGACAAAAACUCUCUCAAGCAUAUCUAUCACAUC
rnacentral:lncRNA from 1 species